rnacentral:RNase_P_RNA from 2 species
AAGGAAUAAGCUGACCUACCGCUGCGGUUUCGGCCGGAGAGGAAAGUCCGGGCAGCAAAGAGCAUCGUACUUCCUAACGGGAAGGCAGCAGGCCGGAGACGGAUUGCUGACAGCAAGUGCCACAGAAAUUAUACCGCCCUGGCAUGUUUUUUAUGUGUCAUGGUAAGGGUGAAAUGGUGGAGUAAGAGACCACCGCUCUUUGGGUGACCACAGAGGCACGGUAAACCUUACGGGCUGAAAGAUCAAAUAGGUGUCAAUCCGUGGGGCUGCUCGUCCCCGUCUCUCGGGACAUUGACACGGGUAGAUCGUUAGAGGUUCCAGGUGACUGGAAUCCUGGAUAAAUGGUAGGAACGUAACAUUGGCUUGCCAAUGUGAGUAACAGAAUCCGGCUUACUGGCUUACCUUUUUU